UACGUAGGUGGCAAGCGUUGUCCGGAUUUAUUGGGUUUAAAGGGUGCGUAGGCGGCUUUGUAAGUCAGUGGUGAAAUAUGGCAGCUCAACUGUCAGGGUGCCAUUGAUACUGCAGAGCUUGAGUACAGAAGAGGAAAGCGGAAUUCCACGUGUAGCGGUGAAAUGCGUAGAGAUGUGGAGGAACACCAGUGGCGAAGGCGGCUUUCUGGUCUGUAACUGACGCUGAGGCGCGAAAGCGUGGGGAGCAAAAGGG
rnacentral:rRNA from 1 species